rnacentral:rRNA from 1 species
GUAGGGGGCAAGCGUUGUCCGGAAUUAUUGGGCGUAAAGCGCGCGCAGGCGGUCUCUUAAGUCCGAUGUGAAAGCCCACGGCUCAACCGUGGAGGGUCAUUGGAAACUGGGGGACUUGAGUGUAGGAGAGGAAAGUGGAAUUCCAUGUGUAGCGGUGAAAUGCGUAGAUAUGUGGAGGAACACCAGUGGCGAAGGCGACUUUCUGGCCUACAACUGACGCUGAGGUGCGAAAGCGUGGGGAGCAAACAGGGAUUAGAUACCCUGGUAGUCCACGCCGUAAACGAUGAGUGCUAGGUGUUAGGGGUUUCGAUGCCCCUUAGUGCCGAGGUUAACACAUUAAGCACUCCGCCUGGGGAGUACGACCGCAAGGUUG